UGCCAGCAGCCGCGGUAAUACAUAGGGGUCAAGCGUUGCCCGGAAUCAUUGGGUUUAAAGGGUCCGUAGGCGGUCUAAUAAGUCAGAGGUGAAAUCCUACAGCUCAACUGUAGCAUUGCCUUUGAUACUGUUAGACUUGAGUUAUUGUGAAGUAGUUAGAAUGUGUAGUGUAGCGGUGAAGUGCAUAGAUAUUACACAGAAUACCGAUUGCGAAGGCAGAUCACUAACACUAUAUUGACGCUGAGGGACGAAAGCGUGGGGAGCGAACGGGAUUAGAUA
rnacentral:rRNA from 1 species